ensembl:rRNA 5S_rRNA 5S ribosomal RNA
GUCUUGGACAAUUCUUUGACUCUUUAAAUUCUAUCUGAUCUAAUCUGAUCUCAGAAGCUGAGCAGGGUCAGUCCUAGUUAGUACCUAGAUGGGAGAACGCCUGGGAAUACCGGGUGCUGUAGGCU